ACAGGCGCUCACCACCAUGCUCAGCUAAUUUUUUGUAUUUUUAGUAGAAAUGUGGUUUCACCGUGUUAGCCACGAUCUCCUGACCUCAUGAUCCGCCCGCCUCGGUCUCCCAGAGUGCUGGGAUUACAGGUGUGAGCCACUGUGCCCGGCUGAAUUUUUGUAUUUUUUAGUAGAGACGGGGUUUUGCUAUGUCGGCCAGGCUGGUCUCAAACUCCUGGCCUCAAGUGAUCUGCCUGUCUUGGCCUCCCAAAGUGCUGAGAUUACAGGUGUGAGCCACUGCACCCAGCCUAGAUCAGGUUUGUUCUCAUGGCAUGAGAGCGAGAGGAAGCAUGCAAGCUCCUGUCAGGCCUGGGCUCAGAACUGGCACACAGUCACCCCUGCCACAUUCUCCUGAGCAAGUCAAGCCAGGAAGUCAGCUUACAUUCAAGUGACGGGGAAACAGACUCUCUCUUUAAUGGGAAGAGCUUCAAGGCCACAUCGCAGAGGGACUCCGACACAGGGAGACCCAAAGAAAAGGCAUCAGCUACUUAAACAUUUUUAGCAGUUCACAGAUUUCUUCACUUUCUCUCUGGAGGGUCUGCCUCUGAGGAAGCCUGGACCAAGACAGAGGAAUAUUUUCAACAAGACAUAGAGGUGCUUUUGAGAUCCUCCCCUCCCUGCCCCAAAUGAAUUGAGAACUCCUUCAGCAAACCACCAGAAAGUCCAGGUAUGCCACCCUCUCUGCACAGGGGCAGUGGAGAGCGCACGGCUUCUGAGGCAGCGGCCUGGGAUGAACCUCUAGCAAUUCCGCUCACCAGCAGUGUCACCUCAGAUAAGCUACUUAAGGUCUCUGGGCUUCAGUUUUGUCACUUGUCAAGGAGGAAGUCCUCCUCCCCCUGUGUCAUGAAGAUUCAAGGAGAGACACAUGGACUCACCCUGAACAACAUGGACACUGAGCAAAACCUCAAUUUAUGGUUUUAAAGAUGUCAAGAAGUAUUACCUUAAUAUACAUGUCACAAAAAUCCUUGUCAGACUCUGUUCUGAUUUACUUGCUAUGUAGGUCACAUAGCAAGUAAAUGCCUAAAAAGUGCAAUUUAAUGAUCCUUUCGUAAACUCCUCUUCCCCUGGGCUGGAAUGAUGUUCUGGAGUUAUAAAUUAAAAGAAUGCUG
rnacentral:lncRNA from 10 species